rnacentral:rRNA from 1 species
UACGUAGGGGGCAAGCGUUGUCCGGAAUCAUUGGGCGUAAAGCACGUGUAGGCGGCCAGAAAAGUCCGCUGUGAAAACUCGAGGCUCAACCUCGAGCUGUCGGUGGAAACUUUCUGGCUAGAGUCCGGAAGAGGAGAAUGGAAUUCCUGGUGUAGCGGUGAAAUGCGCAGAUAUCAGGAAGAACACCCGUGGCGAAGGCGGUUCUCUGGGACGGUACUGACGCUGGAGACGCGAAAAGCCGUGGGGGAGCGAA